GUCGAACGGAGCUAAUAGCAAUAUUAGUUUAGUGGCGCACGGGUGAGUAACGCGUACACAACAUGCCUUUAAUCGAGGGAUAGCCUUGGGAAACUGGGAGUAAUACCUCAUAGUAUUAUUGUUCGGCAUCGGAUGGUAAUUAAAGUUACGGCGAUUAAAGAUUGGUGUGCGUCUGAUUAGGUAGUUGGUGAGGUAACGGCUCACCAAGCCAUCGAUCAGUAGGGGGCGUGAGAGCGUGACCCCCCACACGGGUACUGAGACACGGACCCGACUCCUACGGGAGGCAGCAGUAGGGAAUAUUGGGCAAUGGAGGCAACUCUGACCCAGCCAUGCCGCGUGAACGAAGAAGGCGCUCUGCGUCGUAAAGUUCUUUUAGAGGGGGCGAAAAUGCGAGAUUUAUCUUGUACUGACGGUACCUUCGGAAUAAGCACCGGCUAACUCUGUGCCAGCAGCCGCGGUAAUACAGAGGGUGCAAGCGUUAUCCGGAAUCACUGGGUUUAAAGGGUGCGUAGGCGGGAAGAUAAGUCAAGGGUGAAAGCUCGUCGCUUAACGACGGAAUUGCCUUUGAUACUGUUUUUCUUGAAAUAUGUUGAGGUUGGCGGAAUGAGACAUGUAGCGGUGAAAUGCUUAGAUAUGUCUUAGAACACCGAUUGCGAAGGCAGCUGACUGGACAUUAUUUGACGCUGAGGCACGAAAGCGU
rnacentral:rRNA from 1 species